rnacentral:rRNA from 1 species
GAUGAACGCUGGCGGCGUGCUUAACACAUGCCAGUCGAACGAUGAAGCCCAGCUUGCUGGGUGGAUUAGUGGCGAACAGGUGAGUAACACGUGAGUAACCUGCCCUUAACUCUGGGAUAAGCCUGGGAAACUGGGUCUAAUACCGGAUAGGAGCGUCCACCGCAUGGUGGGUGUUGGAAAGAUUUAUCGGUUUUGGAUGGACUCGCGGCCUAUCAGCUUGUUGGUGAGGUAAUGGCUCACCAAGGCGACGACGGGUAGCCGGCCUGAGAGGGUGACCGGCCACACUGGGACUGAGACACGGCCCAGACUCCUACGGGAGGCAGCAGUGGGGAAUAUUGCACAAUGGGCGCAAGCCUGAUGCAGCGACGCCGCGUGAGGGAUGACGGCCUUCGGGUUGUAAACCUCUUUCAGUAGGGAAGAAGCGAAAGUGACGGUACCUGCAGAAGAAGCACCGGCUAACUACGUG